rnacentral:lncRNA from 9 species
UGGUGUCUUCCUCCACAUCCAAACUCUGUGAAAGUGUCUCUUAGGGCUGUUGUUCUUAGAAGAGUGUGAGCGAAGCAGGAACUUGGAAUUUCAUACUCUUUUUCCAGCACAAGUAUGAAGAAAUGAACUAGACGUGAAGAAGUCUGUGAAAAGAAGUCAGUGAACUUCAGGGAAUAUCCUGGCCACAUAAGAAUGAAUGUUAAAUACCAUAGACAUGCGCC